GACGUAGGAUGCAAGCGUUGUCCGGAAUUAUUGGGCGUAAAGCGCGUGUAGGCGGCUUGGCAAGUCAGAUGUGAAAGCCCUCGGCUUAACCGAGGAAGUGCGUCUGAAACUGCUGAGCUUGAGUCUCGGAGAGGAUGGCGGAAUUCCGCAAGUAGAGGUGAAAUUCGUAGAUAUGCGGAGGAACACCGGUGGCGAAGGCGGCCAUCUGGACGAGUACUGACGCUGAGACGCGAAAGCGUGGGGAGCAAACAGG
rnacentral:rRNA from 1 species